GGGGAAUAUUGGACAAUGGGGGAAACCCUGAUCCAGCCAUGCCGCGUGAAUGAUGAAGGCCUUCGGGUUGUAAAGUUCUUUUGGUAGGGACGAUGAUGACGGUACCUACAGAAUAAGCUCCGGCUAACUUCGUGCCAGCAGCCGCGGUAAUACGAAGGGAGCUAGCGUUGUUCGGAAUUACUGGGCGUAAAGGGUGCGUAGGCGGUUUAAUCAGUCAGAUGUGAAAGCCCCGAGCUCAACUCGGGAACUGCGUUUGAUACUGUUAAGCUAGAAUUCGGAAGAGGUGAGUGGAAUUCCCAGUGUAGAGGUGAAAUUCGUAGAUAUUGGGAAGAACACCGGUGGCGAAGGCGGCUCACUGGUCCGACAUUGACGCUGAGGCACGAAAGCGUGGGGAGCAAAC
rnacentral:rRNA from 1 species